UCUAACAUGUGCGCGAGUCAUUGGGCACGUACGAAACCCAGAGGCGCAAUGAAAGUGAAGGCCUUCCCCGCGGUCGGCCUAGGCAGGAUCCGGUCCCUUAGGGGGCCGGCGCACUGCCGGCCCGUCUCGAUCCCAGCGUGGAUGAGGCGGCGCUAGAGCGUACACGUUGGG
rnacentral:rRNA from 1 species